rnacentral:tRNA from 1 species
GGAGAGAUGGCAGAGUGGUCGAAUGCGGCGGUCUCGAAAACCGUUGUUCCGUUUACGGAACCGGGGGUUCGAAUCCCCCUCUCUCCG